rnacentral:rRNA from 1 species
GGAAUNUUCCACAAUGGANNCAANUAUGAUGGAGCAACGNCGCGUGAGUGAAGAANGGUUUCGGCUCGUAAAGCUCUGUUGGUAGUGAAGAAAGAUAGAGGUAGUAACUGGCCUUUAUUUGACGGUAAUUACUUAGAAAGUCACGGCUAACUACGUGCCAGCAGCCGCGGUAAUACGUAGGUGGCAAGCGUUGUCCGGAUUUAUUGGGCGUAAAGCGAGUGCAGGCGGUUCAAUAAGUCUGAUGUGAAAGCCUUCGGCUCAACCGGAGAAUUGCAUCAGAAACUGUUGAACUUGAGUGCAGAAGAGGAGAGUGGAACUCCAUGUGUAGCGGUGGAAUGCGUAGAUAUAUGGAAGAACACCAGUGGCGAAGGCGGCUCUCUGGUCUGCAACUGACGCUGAGGCUCGAAAGCAUGGGUAGCGAACAGG